UAGAAAGAGAGAGGGGCCACUCUUAGCCUGCAGCGGCCAGUGAGCCCGAGGAGAUGGCCUUGAACAGCCUGGUCUAACCUCCUACCUUCUGCUAAUGGAGAGAACUUUAAAGCAAAACCUUCAAGUUCUCAGCCUCCUUUAUGACCAGACACGGCCAUGUAACCCAGCGCUGGCCAACAAGUGAUGGAUGGGACCCCCUGGGGAGAGCUUCCUUCUCCUAAUAAAAAGGCUAAGCCUACUGAGGAGACAGCGUGUGACUUUCAGCCUUUUGCUCUACGCCUCUUUCUGCCUAGAAUAUGGAUGUGAUGUCUGGACGCUCAGCAGCCAUUCUGUGAAAUGAGGAGACACAAACACGGAGAGCAACAGAGCAGGAAGCCAAAAGGAACCUGGCCAGGAUGACCCCCCGAGGACCCUGCCAGCCCUGGGCUGUCUGGUCCCGAGCUUCUGUGCUGUACUGAGUGUCAACAGCGGCUUGUGGAGUCCAGAGAAGCCCCAACCCGUUUUGGGAGCAGGUACGAUUUUGGGGGCAGGGAGUGCCUAAAGGCAGCUCCCCCCAGUAUCUGCCACCUCCUUCUCCUGGGACCUGGGUGUGGCUCAUGGCACAUCCUCAGGGACUGGCCUCCCUGGUGGUGGCAUCAAUAGGAAUUCUGGAGGCUGGAAGUCUGAAACUGAGGUGUCAGCAGGGCUACGCUCCUUCUGCAGGCUCCGGGGUGGAUCCAUCCCAACUCUGCCAGCUCCUGGGGGCCCAGGUGGCUCUGUGGCUGGCCAAGCAUGCCUCCCAUCUCCGUCUCCAUCUUCACCUGGCCUCCUCCUCUGUGUCCCCUCCUCUUGUUUGUUUGUGUGUUUGUUUUUGCUUUUUAGGGCCACACCCAUGGCAUAUGGAAGUUCCCAGGCUAGGGGUCUAAUCGGAGCUGUAGCUGCCGGCCUCCACCACAGCCACAGCAACGUGGGAUCUGAGCCACAUCUGUGACCUACACCGCAGCUCACAGCAAUGGCGGAUCCUUAACCCACUGAGCGAGGCCGGGGAUCAAACCCGCAUCCUCAUGGAUCUUGGUUGGGUUUGGUAACCGCUGAGCCACGAAGGGAACUCCCCCUCCUCACCUCGGUCAUGAGGUUUAGAGCCCACCCUAAACCUAAACCCAGGACUGCAGCUCCUGAUCUCUGACUAAUUACAUCAGCAGAGACCUUAUUUCUAGACAAGGUCACAUUCUGAGGUUCUGGCUAGACAUGAAUUUCAGUCCCUCGGGGACCUUGGUCAGGGGUGGGCCCCAGAGGCUGCUUUCCCUGCACCCCAGCCCCGCCCCAGGUGAAGGUCACGGCGCUGAGCUCAGUGCCUGGGCUGCUGGCUCUCUGGGCUCAGCAGCUGCCAGGAGGCGGCUACGCUCUGCCGUCGGUGUGGACGGCAGCUCUGCUCCGAUCUUCCCGUAAUUACACUUCCAGCCCAGAGAACAUCCCCCCGGCUUUUCCCAGAGACGCGUGCACAGCGCUGAUAAUGAGUUCUGCCUUCCCAAAUUACCUGUUUCUGGGGUUGGAAGUAAUUUUCUGCCUGGAAACAAUUAACUUGAGGACCUGAGAAAAGCUGCACAUGGGGGAAGGAGGCGGUGGAAGAGUCUGAAGAGGACUGAGAGUGGGAGGCACGCCUGGCCCAAGCCCUGGGCCACGUCGGCUUGCGGGGCUGCAGGAACUCAGUCACCCUCGAGGUCCCUCCUGCCGCCCCCUUGAUGGUCUGGCAGCUUCUACAAAGUUCCGCUCUGCAGUGCAGGCUGCGUGGAGGCGCUCGGGGUGGGGAGAGCGGCCCUGGGAACCAGUUGCUGUGGAUGCAAAUCCUGACUUAGGCACCGGAGAGCAGGAGGUGUGGCCAACCUUAGCUUCCUCUUCUGGAAAAGGGGGUAAGGUGACCUACCCAGGCCCCAGGCACCGGGGCUCGUGGACAAUGUGUGCGAUGUGUGAGCAGGUGCCUGGCACAGAGCAGGUGCUCAGGAAGAGCAGCACGUCCUCCUGGGAAAGCCGACGUGUGAACGAAGGAAGGGAGACAUCGGGGUACAAGAGGUACGAGAUCUGGGGUCAGUCCCUUCUAGCAGCUCAACGAGCACGUCAUCAAAUAUCCCUGAGCAAGUAUAAAACGGGGUCGGACUAGCAGGGCUGUUAAGAGGUGAGGUGAGAUGUGCAAAUAGCCUGCAAACUGUAAAAUGCCGUCCCUUGGCACUUUAUAAAUAAUAAUCAGAAAACACCAAUCGCUGUGCUCAGCCAGGCCAGCACUGCUCUUCUUGUUACUCCAGUGGUUCGCAAAGCGGGAUUCCUGGGCUCAGCCAGCAUCAGGCCGGAACUUGCUAGAAAGGUACAUUUAGGGCCUACUCCAGGCCCACCAAAUCAGAAACCCUGGAGUGGGGCCGGCGAGUCCUCCGGAGGUUCUGUGGGUGCUGAAGUUUGGGCGCCUCUGUUUCACGUGGGCUUCCCUCUCCUGCUCAGAGCCUCAUAAGUGCACUCACCUUCUCCCCUGUGCCUCCCCUCCCCCAGCCUCUCCCAGAGCCACCGCUGCAGGCUUGGUGUCUUCCAAACGAAAGGCAGGCUGUGAUUCUACCCCCUGGGAGGACCCCCUAGCUAUUGGCACUCCAGUGUGUUCCAGGUAGAAGCCGCCAGUGAAAUCCUGACGACCCCGGCACGGUGCUGGCAGCAGGUGUUUGUGGCUGUGGGCGUGAGCUCUGUCCCCCGCCCCCUGGCCAGGGACAAUUUGGAAACUGGCUGAGGAAUCAGAAUCUAGGAUCCUGAUUUUCUCUCUGCCACCACCUCCAGGGGACCACGGACAUGGCCUGUCCUCCGGGCCUCAGUUUCCCCAUCCAUGGCAUGGGAACGCUGGUCUGGAGGGGCUCAGUCCCUUCUGAGAUGGUUUUGUCUUCCCAGCACAGGCCUGGAGCCACCUCCGCUGGCUCUGCUUCUGACCCGAGGUGGGAGAUCCUUUAACCUCUGGGCUCAGUAUGGGGGGGUGGUCUCUGCUCUGGCUCCUGCUGGAGAUCCGAUGGGGAGGUCAAGGCAGGGGGGCGGGGGCCAUGUCAGCUGCAGGACUGAGGUGUCCUGUGUAUCCCGUAACGAGAUGCCCCUUCUCUAGGCUCCUGGCACCUUCUUCCCGAAGCUGCUUCCUAAACAGCAUCUACAUCAGUAUUUCUUAAAAACCCCAAUGUCCCCGUUAUGCGGGGAGCAGAAGGUUCAAGUGCAGGAGGGGAGCAGAUGGUUCAAGAGCAGGAGGGGGCACAGAGAGGAGGCCCCUGGUGGAAACAUGUGGCCCCUGCCCCAAAGGGGUCCUGGCAGGAACUCUAGCUCUCAGCAGAGGAGUUAAAUAAAUUUUUUUUUUUUGGUUACCCGCUGUCUUAUGGAGUACCUGGUCAGGGGUUGGAUCUGAGCCGUGCUUGUAACCCACACCACUGGCAAGGCUGGAUCCUUUAACCCACUGUGCCAGGCUAGGUCCUAGUGCUGCAGAGAUGCCACCAAUCCCUUCGUGCCACAAUGGGAACACCAGGAGCUAAAUAUCAUAUUGACACCCGCUCCCCACAUUUGGCUGGCAUUCUGCUAUUUGUAAGUCCAUUCAGGCAUUGACACAGAGCCUGCCAGGCCAGCCAUGGUGUCCGGACUCAGCUAUACAGCGGGCUUGGCUUUUGCAUCCUUCUCCUGUAGGCGGCUUACUCCCACAAGGCAGUGCCUCCCCUUGUGGGGUCCCUCUUGUCCGCACUGUGGAGCAUCCUUCAGGGCAACAGUCUCAGGAUCCACUAGAGAAUCGCCCACAAUCAUUUGCUGGCUGCACCAUUGGCUCUGUUUGCUGAGGCUCCGGGGCAGACGCAGGGCUGGGACCUCUCGUGUCUCAGGUUGUUAAGUCCUUACAACAAAUCCAAGUCAGAGAUUUCCUCUCCUUUUUAGAUUUGAACACGUGGAGGCACAGAGAGGUGAAGUGACUUGCCCAAGGUCACAGCGCUGGUGCGUGAGGGGCUCCAGCAUCCGUGCUUUAACUCUCUGUGAUGAUGAUCUGGUGCCCAGGUGGGCCUCCCUUCUCCCCAUUCUUCUGCACGGAGCAGCCUCCCAACUCUCCCCUCUGAGAUGCCCUGGGGGGCCGCCUCUGGUCCCCGCAUGUUUGCAGGAGGCAGUGCCUCUGUUCUGGGCAACCUCACCAUCGCGCUCUGGCCCAUCUUCCAGCCUGGGGCUGGUGGCUGUGGGUCUCUGAGUGCCUGGCUGCACCUCUAGGGGGUGGUCCCUCUCACGGGGAUGAGAGAGGGUCCCCCGAUAUUGAACGUCUUUCUAGCAGACCUCCGCUGGCACACAGGCACCUGCCUGCCUCACAGGCUCCUCGGGCUCCAUCCCAGCUCACCAUCCACCAGGCUUCCGCACAGGGCAUCCAGAGUGGCCGUGCCUCCAAGGCUUCCGGGGUCUGCAGAAUCAACGAGGAGCCAUUUCCUCUGGCAUAUCCGUCCCCAUGGGACCUGGGUCACAGGCCAGUCCCAUCUACCGCCUCCCUCCUCUGGGGCUGGGAACUGGCUUUCUUCCUCGCCUCUCACCCCUUCCGUCUGUUGACCAAUAAGCUGUUCUCUCGGCAUCUUAUCAGUGUGUGCGGACUUGGUCAUCUUUUUCUUCCUCUUCCCCCUCUUCCUGCUCCUCCUCUCCCGCCCCCUUCCUCCUUUUCUUCUCCCCCGCCAUCGUCUGAACCCCCCAGGAGAAUGUCAGAUCCGUGAGAACGUGGCCUUGACGGCUUAGUCCGCGGCCGCAGACCCACCACCUAGCAUGGGGCUCAGUAAGCACCCAGCCAGCGUUUGCUGGCCUGGAGGUCGGGCACGCGGGAGGGUCUUGGCCCCAGACUCCACUUAACCCUCUGGCCCGGACCAGUCCUGGCGCCUCCCUGAACCUCAGCUGCUGCUUCUGCAACCUCUGGGGAGCAGACCGAGCUGACAUGAGGACGCUGCUGAAGGGGUGGGAGGACCUUGCAGAUGGCACCCUUACCUCUCAGCCGGGGAGCGGCAGAAGUUCCCUGUCUGCUGGGCUUUCAGCUGCCCGCCCACCACAGAGGUGUCCACAACAGGUUUCUUUUGAUUUAGGGCGGGAGACCGUCUCCUUUUGGGGUGGCGGUGGCACUCAUGGUCUAUUUCCUGCUCAGUGCUGGGUGCCAAGUUGGCAUUAAUGUAGAAAAAUUAGUAUUAUCAGGACUGCCUUUGGAGCCAUUUCUCGCCCUGGAGUCCUUGACGUGUUAAUUAAACUUGAUAAAUGCUCUUGUCUAAAGAUAACUUUUGAACAAUGGAUCCAGUCACCCACUUAUUAGUCGGGUACAUGCUCCUGCAAAUUGCCGAGGCGGCGUUCUGAGAUGCUGGGGCCCGCGCUGGGACCGAGGGUACCCGGGGAGAGAGGGAUGCUGUGGAGCUCAGCGCAGGUCUCCUGGUUGGGGCGUGGGGGGCGCAGGGAGGCGGUGGCAGCUGUGGACCAGGCAGAGCAGAGGAGUGGUGGGAACCCUCCUGGUGGGAACUGACCUUCUUCUACUUGCAGCUCCCAUCACAAGCCCCCUUCUGCUCAGCAUCUAUCUCAUCACCAUGACAACGCACCCCAUGCCGAGCAACACUGGGGGAGGUGGGAGAGCCAAGAGAUAGGACCUUUGCCCUCUAGGUGGAGUCAUUAUCCUGGGGGCCCAUCCUGGGGUGACAUCAUUUUCCCUGCUGUUCUGCCCCCCACCCCACCUUCCGCAUACCCCAGCAUGGGAAGCUGUGAUGCCCAAAGCUUCUCCCAGGAUCUCGGCAACAAAAUGGCCUUCCCAGAGUCUGGCAUUGGGACCCCAGGGUCCCAUCACUGCAGCACCCUGAAUUCCAUCUAACUCUGCUUCAGCCCCCCUCCCCCAAGAUGCCAUGUGCAGAGACACGAGGGACUGCAGGAUGUCACUGAGGAGCGAUUACAUGGCUCCAAAGACCCCAAAGGGACACAGGGCACUGACUAGAGGAACAAGUGAAGAAAGAUGCAGGAUGCCGUCAUGAGUCACCAAGACCUCCUGGAGCAGCCCCUUCACCGGACCGCCAGCCUGUGUCCAUGUCUUUGACCCUGGCUGAUUCAGAGCCCCCCGUCCAUACACACACUCGCUGGGGCAGUGGGACGAGGUGGGCAGGCUGGGUUCCAGUCCUGUCCUACAGUUUCUUUACAGCUGUGUGGCCAGAGGCAGAUCACUUUGCCUCUCUGAGCCUCAGCGUUCUCAGGCGGCCCUGCCUCUCUUCGGGGGCGAAGGGAUGCCCAUGGCCUUGUGACCUGCUUUGGCCAACAGACUGAAGCAGAAGUGGCCACGAGCCCGGGCUGAGCCCAGGUCUCUCGCAGCGUGUGUCUUCCACACCUUGUGCUGUUGCCAUGGGAACGCCUCCAGCCGGGCCGUGUGCCAGCUGCCCGCCAGCCACGUGGCUGAGCCUGGCCAAGACCAGAAGAACCUCACCACAGAGCCCAGCCUGAAGUGCCGAACUGUGAGCCAAGCACACAUGUCUGAAGCCCCUCAGUUCUGGGGCGUUUUUUAUGCAUUUAUUAUCAUGGCAAUAAGCACAGGGUUUUUUUUAAGUUAAUUAUUUAUUUUGAUUGAAGUGGAGUUGAUUGACAGAGUUUCAGGUGUGAAAGGUAUCCAGCUAUACCUCUAUUACUUAUUCCUGUUCAUUUUCUUUCUAUCACAGGUCUUAUAGGAUAUUGACUAUGGCUGCCUCCGCUGUACGGUAUCAGAUCUGAGCCGAAGUUGUGACCUACACCGCAGCUGCAGCAACACCAGAUCCUUAACCCACUGUGCCAGGCUGGGGAUCAAGCCUGCGUCCUGGCGCUGCAGAGACGCCACUAAUCCCGUCACGCCGCAGCGGAAACUCUGGGAUUACCUACCUCUUGGAAAGAAUUUCUUCCAGGCUCCGGUCCCAGCUCUCGAGGGGAACGUCCUCACUCUGCCUUCACAACCAUGAAGAUAACGAGGCAGGUACCAACAGUAGCCCCAUUUUACAGAUGAGGACACUGAGGCUCAGAGGGGAUACGGCACCUGCUGGAGGUCAGCAGCCAGUACGGGGCGGAGGACGGCUUCAUGCCUGGCUAUUGUUAGCAUCUCCGCAUGUGCCGCACUCGGGAACUGACGCUGCCUGGGGAAAGGGUGAGAUCAUCCGCCCGGAGGUCCACGGUCACCUUUGCACGAGGCUCAACGAAGAGCGAAGAGCGAAGAGCGGGACCUCCCUUCCAGCCGCAACCCCGGGGCGGGCGCAGGGCCCGCACAGGGUCAGGACAGGCUCGGGGGUGGGGAGCAGUCUGGGGAGGGACGAGCCGCGCCUCUUCUAUGGGCAUCUUCUGCAGCCCCUUCUCCCCCACGUUGGGGCCACUGGGAGCGCUCAAGGCGUCGGCCCCUGGACCUCCCUCUGGGAUCAGUUGUCCCUGCCCAUGGUGCUAUGCCGUCUCCGAACCCCUCAGCUGUUAGGGGGGUGAGUGGACGUUUAACCUGGGCCAGCAGUCAGGGGUUCCAUCUCUCCAGGGACUGGCUCAGGAAUGGGCACAUGGUCCAGGCAAGAUGUGGAAAUAAAGACUCUCCACCUUAAAC
rnacentral:lncRNA from 1 species